AGAGCCCAAUGGAUCCCUCUCCAGAGCACCUGGGAGGCGGGUUGCAGGAGGUAUUUCUGUACCAGGAAAGAGCUCUCAGCCCCUAAAAGUCCCAGAUA
rnacentral:lncRNA from 1 species